rnacentral:rRNA from 1 species
CAUGGUGUCUGGGAAAGCCUUUGCGGCAUGGGAUGGGGUCGCGUCCUAUCAGCUUGAUGGCGGGGUAACGGCCCACCAUGGCUUCGACGGGUAGCCGGCCUGAGAGGGCGACCGGCCACAUUGGGACUGAGAUACGGCCCAGACUCCUACGGGAGGCAGCAGUGGGGAAUAUUGCACAAUGGGCGCAAGCCUGAUGCAGCGACGCCGCGUGAGGGAUGGAGGCCUUCGGGUUGUAAACCUCUUUUGUUAGGGAGCAAGGCAUUUUGUGUUGAGUGUACCUUUCGAAUAAGCACCGGCUAACUACGUGCCAGCAGCCGCGGUAAUACGUAGGGUGCAAGCGUUAUCCGGAAUUAUUGGGCGUAAAGGGCUCGUAGGCGGUUCGUCGCGUCCGGUGUGAAAGUCCAUCGCUUAACGGUGGAUCCGCGCCGGGUACGGGCGGGCUUGAGUGCGGUAGGGGAGACUGGAAUUCCCGGUGUAACGGUGGAAUGUGUAGAUAUC